AUGAGAUCGAACCCCAAAUUGCCGACUCCAAAUUCCGGGAAAUCCCUCUCAAAUUCCGGGAAAUACUCCCCCAAAAAAUUCAGAUCGAACCCCAAAUUCCCGACCCCAAACUCCGGGAAAUCCCCCCCCAAAAAUGAGAUCGAACCCCAAAAUUCCCGACCCCAAAUUCCGGGAAAUCCCCCUCAAAUUCCGGGAAAUCUCCCCCAAAAAGGAGAUCGAACCCCAAAUUUCCGACCCCAAAAUCCGGUUUCCCUCCCCACCCCGGGACCCCCAAAAUCUCCCCCCAAAACCCAUCUGGGUACCCCAAAAUCCCUCUCAGAACCCCCAAAUUCCUUCCAGCACUCCCCAGGACCCCCCAAUAUUCCUCCAAGACCCCCCAAAAUCCCCCCAGGAUCCCAAAAAUCUCUCCAGGGUCCCCUCAAAUCCCUUUUUUACCCCCCUAAAUCCCUUUUUUUUUUCUUUUCCCCAGCUCUGUUCCUGUUUUGGGGGGGGGUCGCGGUUUUUGGGGACCCCCCCCGGGCCCUGCGCUGCCCCCUGCUGGACGAGAGGGGCACCCCCACCCCCCGGGGGGCCCUGCUGAGGAUUCUGGGGGGUCCCGAGACCCCCCCGAGCCCCGAGACCCCCCGGGACCCCCUGGAGAAAAAUUUCGAUGUCAGAGACCCCUGGGGGGUCCUGGAAGGAUUUUGGGGCCCCUCGGGGGAGCCCCCCCGGUGCGAGCUGAGCCCCACGGCGCCGCUGCCGCCACCCCCGGGCUCGGGGACGGCCCCAAAGUGUCCCCAGGGGACGCGCUGGUGGCUGCUGGCCCUGGGGACAUCGGGCAGGGAGGGGACGGCGCUGCUGCAGGAGGGGGAGGGGGACACGGACAGAGUGACAGGUGAGGGGGACACGGGUGGCACCUGUGUCACCUGUGUCACCUGUGUGUCAUUAAUGUCACUUGAGUGUCAUUGUCACCUGAGUGUCAUUGCUGUCACCUGUGUGUCACCUGUGUGUCAUUGUCAUCUGAGUGUCAUGGUUACGUAUGUGUCACCUGAGUGUCACCUGAGUGUCAUUGUCACCUGUGUGUCAUUGUCUGCUGUGUCACCUGUGUGUCAUUAAUGUCACCUCAGUGUCACCUGAGUGUCACCUGUGUGUCAUUGCUGUCACGUGUGUGUCAUUGUCACCUGUGUCACCUCACAUCCCCGGAUCUCCCCCAAUGCCCCCAAUGCCCCCAAUGUCCCCAGUGUCCCCAACGUCCCCAAAUGUCCCCAAUCCCCCCCAGUGUUCCAAAUCCCCCAAAUGUUCCCAUUCCCCCAAUGUCCCCAAAUGUCCCCAAUAUCCCCAAUCCCCCAAAUGUCCCCAGUGUCCCCCAAUGUCCCCAAUGUCCCCAACGUCCCCAAAUGUCCCCAAUCCCUCAAAUGUCCCCAAUGUCCCCCAAUGUCCCAAAUCCCCCCCAAUCCCCCUAAUUUCCCCAAUUUCCCCAAUCCCCACAAUGUCCCCAAAUGUCCCCCAUUCCCCCAAUGUCCCCAAAUGUCCCCAAAUCUCCCCGAUGUCCCCAAUCCCCCCCAAUGUCCCCAGUGUCCCCCACACCCCCCUAACCGCCCUCCCCUCCCCCCACAGCCUCCCUGUUCAUCUCCACGCUGUCCCCCACCGUGCGGGGGCUCGUGGGGUCCCCCCAGAGCCUGCACUGCGCCCUGACCCCCGACCCCGGCCCCUUCACCCUCGAGUGGCUGCACCACCGCGACGGCGCCACCCGCCGCCUGCUGGCCUUCGACUCGGCCACCGCCCGCGUCACCGGCGCCGCCCCGGGGGUGCUGCUGCUGCUGGGGGGCCGGGACCCCUCCUCAAAUUCGGGGGGAGAUGUCGGGACACAG
rnacentral:lncRNA from 1 species